rnacentral:rRNA from 1 species
CCUACGGGAGGCUGCAGUGGGGGAUAUUGCACAAUGGGGGAAACCCUGAUGCAGCGACGCCGCGUGAGUGAAGAAGUAUUUCGGUAUGUAAAGCUCUAUCAGCAGGGACGAAAAAAGACGGUAGCUGACUAAGAAGCCCCGGCUAACUACGUGCCAGCAGCCGCGGUAAUACGUAGGGGGCAAGCGUUAUCCGGAUUUACUGGGUGUAAAGGGAGCGUAGACGGGAAGGCAAGCCAGAAGUGAAAGGGCAGGGCUCAACCCUGUACAUGCUGUUGAAACUGUGGUGCUAGAGUGCAGGAGAGGUAAGUGGAAUGCCUGGUGUAGCGGUGAAAUGCGUAGAUAUUAGGAGGAACACCAGGGGCGAAGGCGACUUACUGGACUGUAACUGACACUGAGGCACGAAAGCGUGGGGAGCAAACAGGAUUAGAUACCCGAGUAGUC